rnacentral:rRNA from 1 species
GACGAACCGUGCGAACGUUAUUCGGAAUCACUGGGCUUAAAGCGCGUGUAGGCGGGCCGGCACGUCGGUCGCUGAAAUCCCCCGGCUCAACCGGGGAAGGGGCGCCGAUACGACCGGCCUGGAGGGGCGUAGGGGGACCGGGAACUUCCGGUGGAGCGGUGAAAUGCGUUGAGAUCGGAAGGAACGCCCGUGGCGAGAGCGCGGUCCUGGACGCCUGCUGACGCUGAGACGCGAAAGCCAGGGGAGCGAACGGG